GCACAUCAAGGCCUUCGACCGGGCUUUUGCCGACAACCCAGGACCGAUGGUUGUGUUUGCCACGCCAGGAAUGCUGCACGCUGGGCAGUCCCUGCAGAUCUUCCGGAAAUGGGCCGGAAAUGAAAAGAACAUGGUCAUCAUGCCCGGCUACUGCGUGCAGGGCACCGUCGGCCACAAGAUCCUCAGCGGUCAGCGGAAGCUCGAGAUGGAGGGGCGGCAGGUGCUGGAGGUCAAGAUGCAGGUGGAGUACAUGUCAUUCAGUGCACACGCAGACGCCAAGGGCAUCAUGCAGCUGGUGGGCCAGGCAGAGCCGGAGAGCGUGCUGUUGGUGCAUGGCGAGGCCAAGAAGAUGGAGUUCCUGAAGCAGAAGAUCGAGCAGGAGCUCCGUAGGCAGCCAGGCGGGCGGUGUGGGGCCCACCUCGGGUCAGCGCAGGCAGCCUGGGCUGAGGCUCUCUCUUCCCCCGGGGUCCAGGGGUCAGCUGCUACAUGCCGGCCAAUGGUGAGACGGUGACGCUGCCCACAAGCCCCAGCAUCCCCGUAGGCAUCUCGCUGGGGCUGCUGAAGCGGGAGAUGGCGCAGGGUAUGCAGGCUGGGCAGGGCAGGGUGCUCGGGGCAGGCGGCUGGGAGCGGCCCUCACGUUGAUGGCUCCUGUCGCCUCCUCCGCAGGGCUGCUCCCUGAGGCCAAGAAGCCUCGGCUCCUGCACGGCACCCUGAUCAUGAAGGACAGUGUGAGUGCCAGGACGGCCUCUGGAGGGGGGAGGGCUGCUGCUGCGCUCCCUGACCUGUCCCUGCCCCACAGAACUUCCGGCUGGUGUCCUCAGAGCAAGCCCUCAAAGAGCUGGGUCUGGCUGAGCACCAGCUGCGCUUCACCUGCCGCGUGCACCUGCAUGACACGCGCAAGGAGCAGG
rnacentral:sRNA from 1 species